AUUUGCUUUUUGGGUAUUUUUUUUGAAGGAUACGAAAGGUUCUCUCUAUACAACGCUACUAAGCCCGUGAACGACGUGUUCAGUCAGUGCUCUCGUAGGGAGUGAAGAGAUAAGAUCAGACUAGAGAGGUGCCUACUGAAGCUGAUUGAUGUGAAAUCGUGAUCUGAUUUUUGUUUCGUUUCGUCAUUUCUAGCAUGUUUUAGUUCUUACCAUUUACAAGCUAAAUGUGUACAUCUUAAUGCUAUAAUAGCAAUUAAUUGGAUUGUGAUCUGCUUUUUAUA